rnacentral:rRNA from 1 species
GGUUAACGCUGGCGGCGUGCCUAACACAUGCAAGUCGAACGGUUCUCAGCGCGAGCUUAGGAUAGUGGCGAACGGGUGAGUAAAAGGUAGGAAUCUACCCCUUGGACGGAGAUAGCUACUGGAAACGGUAGGUAAACUUCGAUAAGCCCGAGAGGGGAAAGUGGUGAGACAGCCGAGGGAUGAGCCUACUCUCCAUCAGGUAGUUGGUGAGAUAAAAGCUUACCAAGCCGAUGACGGAUAACCGGUGUGAGAGCAUGAACGGUCACAAGGGCACUGAGAGACGGGCCCUACUCCUACGGGAGGCAGCAGUGGGGAAUCUUGGACAAUGGGCGAAAGCCUGAUCCAGCGACGCCGCGUGGAGGAAGAAGUCCUUCGGGAUGUAAACUUCUGAACUAGCCGAAUAAAAGGCCUGUGGACACACAGGAGAAGAAAGUAGGCUAGGAAAAGUCCCGGCUAACUACGUGCCAGCAGCCGCGGUAAGACGUAGGGGGCAAGCGUUACCCGGAAUUACUGGGCGUAAAGGGGGCGUAGGCGGUAAAAGAAGUCAUCUGUGAAAACCUAUUGCUCAACGAUAGGCUAGCGGAUGAAACUGAAUUACUUGAGGGCACCAGAGGUAGACGGAAUUACCCGAGUAGGGGUGAAAUCCGCAGAUACGGGUAGGAACGCCGGUGGAGAAGUCGGUCUACUGGGGUGCACCAGACGCUGAGGCCCGAAAGCUAGGGGAGCAAACCGGAUUAGAUACCCGGGUAGUCCUAGCCGUAAACGAUGCUCACUAGGUGUAGGGAGUGAUAAACUCUCUGUGCUGAAGCGAACGCGCUAAGUGAGCCGCCUGGGGAGUACGUCCGCAAGGAUGA